UACGGAGGAUGCAAGCGUUAUCCGGAAUGAUUGGGCGUAAAGGGUCCGCAGGUGGCACUGCAAGUCUGCUGUCAAAGAGCGAGGCUCAACCUUGUAAAGGCAGUGGAAACUGCAGAGCUAGAGUACGUUCGGGGCAGAAGGAAUUCCUGGUGUAGCGGUGAAAUGCGUAGAGAUCAGGAAGAACACCGGUGGCGAAAGCGCUCUGCUAGGCCGCAACUGACACUGAGGGACGAAAGCUAGGGGAGCGAAUGGG
rnacentral:rRNA from 1 species